GAUUCCCUGAGUAACGGCGAGCGAAAGGGGAAAAGUCCAGCGCCAAGUCUUGACGUUUAGGCGUUCAAGAGAUGCGGCGUUAAUGUGUUGGUGCAUCAUGAAUUGUCGUAUGUUUCAAGUUCCUUUGACAGGGACAUCCAGAGCGGGUGCUAGGCCCAUAGAGACGAACGACUGAUUCAUGCAAACCGAUGCAUUCUAGAGUCAGGUUGCUUGAGAGUGCAGCUUAAAGUCGGUGGUAGACUCCAUCCAAGACUAAAUAUGACAGCGAGACCGAUAGCAAACAAGUACCGUGAGGGAAAGUUGCAAAGCACUUUGAAGAGAGAGUUAAACAGUACGUGAAACCACUGGAAGGCAAACAGAUGGAACCACGAAGUUUGCGCUUCGGUCGAUUCAAUCAACGCUUGCAGCCAACGACRACGGAAAUGGAUCUUUUCGGAGAUUGUUCCUUUGUUUUUUCGGCCRCAAGCUUUGGUGCAUUUCGUGCCGAGGAUGCUAAGCCACGUUCGAUCAGAUGAUUGGGACGGCCGUAAGAUUGGGCUGGAGAAAGGUGCCCGUCAAGUCUUUGAUUUGACGGCGUUAUAGUCUCUGGCCGGAACCGUCGCCUAAUGAACUGAUUGAUAAAAGUUCUCCUUCGGGAGUAUAUAAACUGCGUUUGCCUGUGAUUGCUAAUUGAUGUUUCGAGGCCGGUCUUUACGUGUCUUUGGAUGCGAAAAGCCGUUUCAACAAUGUCAAUUAGUUGUUGCUUGCAUUGCGUGGUGUAGAACUGUGGCGCGAGUAGGUCGGUUUCCAUUUGACCCGUCUUGAAACACGGACCAAGGAGCCUAUCAUAUACGCAAGUCGCUCGGUCUUGUACAGGCCAGAGAGGCGAAAUGAAAGUAAAGCUACGAGAUUUCGGUCGCAGUAGCGGCUCGCCUACUUUGUUUAUUGGCAAUCAGGCGAAGCUGGAGCGUAUACGAUGGUACCCGAAAGAUGGUGAACUAUGCCUGGGCAAGACGAAGCCAGAGGAAACUCUGGUGGAGGUCUGUAGCGAUUCUGACGUGCAAAUCGAUCGUCAGACCUGGGUAUAGGGGCGAAAGACUAAUCGAACCAUCUAGUAGCUGGUUCCCUCCGAAGUUUCCCUCAGGAUAGCAGGCGCUUUUUGACUCAGUCUCAUCCGGUAAAGCUAAUGAUUAGAGGUCUUGGGGUUGAAACGACCUCAACCUAUUCUCAAACUUUAAAUGGGUGAGAUGGUUGACUUUCUUGAUUGAAGCCGACCAUUUGGAUGUAUGAGUGCCUAGUGGGCCAUUUUUGGUAAGCAGAACUGGCGCUGUGGGAUGAACCAAACGUCGAGAUAAGGCAUCAAAUGUGUACGCUCAUCAGACCCCAUAAAAGGUGUUGGUUGCUAUAGACAGCAGGACGGUGGCCAUGGAAGUCGGAAUCC
rnacentral:rRNA from 1 species